ACUGAGGCUUGGGGACCCUUUACGACUCUUGCAGCUCGUGAGUCAAGGUCUAGGGGAUUAUGGGACACCACCUGGGGCUGACAGUGGGCCAGCAAGUCCUGCCAGCGGAUCAUCUUGGGAGACUCACCCAUUGAUUGGGAGUAAUGUCCUGGCUACUGACCACGACCCCAGCUAGUGUCAGGAGGCUGUGGCACAGAUAGCAGACCUGGAAAGGGAGAGAGAGAGAGAGAGAGAGAGAGAGAGAAAGCACAACAAGGAUGCUUCCUAACUUCUUCUAAGGCCAUGGGCUCCUGUCUUAGCCAGCAGCAGCAGCUUCCUGGAACACAUCUUCAAGGAGGGCCUCACUUCCUCAGAGCUGUGACUGUCCCAGUAGCCUGUACCCAGGACCCACAUUUCUUCUAAUUAUUGAUUGUCCUCAAAUGGCUUCUGAAAAAGAGAAUCCUUGCCACCCGGAAAGCCGCACCACCCUAAGCCUUCUUUGUGACUCCAGAAGCAGAAGCCCAGAGGGCCUGUGCACCCUCUCCUUUGCACAACCUGUUUGCUAAGUCACCUAUACCUGUGGUCAGUAACUGAGAUGAUCCUAUCCCUUGGGCCACCUCUAGGUCCCCAUCUUGUAAAUGUGACCCAUAGUGGAUAAGCACCUGCACAAACCUAGGCACAGCACCCUUUAACAAUCAGCCCUGACGACAGACAGAAAGCUGGCAAGAGAAGGGGAGACCAGUAGAAGCAGUAUGCAUCGAAUAUCUGCAUGCCUUCUCCACCCAGUCCACCCUCACUGUCGCCACUGGGCACUUCAGAGAUAAAAACCGGGACAAAGGUCAUUUGGGAGGAACCGUACCUGGAAUCCCUAGCUUAGAAGCUAAAGCAAGAAGAUCACAAGUUUAAGGCCAGCCAAGGCUCCUGCAUAGAAAGAAAGCAUCUC
ensembl:processed_transcript D430040D24Rik RIKEN cDNA D430040D24 gene